GUCCCGCAACGAGCGCAACCCUUAUCUCCAGUUGCUACCAUUUAGUUGAGCACUCUGGCGAAACCGCCUCGGAUAACGGGGAGGAAGGUGGGGAUGACGUCAAGUCCUCAUGGCCUUUAUGUCCAGGGCUACACACGUGCUACAAUGGCCGGUACAAACCGCUGCAAACCCGUGAGGGGGAGCCAAUCGGAAAAAGCCGGCCUCAGUUCGGAUUGGAGUCUGCAACUCGACUCCAUGAAGCUGGAAUCGCUAGUAAUCGUGGAUCAGCAUGCCACGGUGAAUACGUUCCCGGGCCUUGUACACACCGCCCGU
rnacentral:rRNA from 1 species